GUGAAUUUAAAGGAGUUAAUUCGUCUUACACGCGAAUGUUAUAGAACUAGUUAACACUACAAUACUAAAAUGUCCUUACACUAGUAUUAAUCGGUUAAAUUCGAAAUUACUCGUACAAAUAAUAAAUGUUAGCCGUUCGUACGAAGUUUCAUAAUUUUAUAGACAUGAAAAGUGUAAAAAAUUGUCGUGUUUCUGAGGUUAUAGUGUGUAAAAGUGCAGCGUGCAACGGAAUGCGAGCAAAAUUUACAGGGGGGCGCGAGACAGGUAUGCAAACAGAACUACAAACAAGGCGAAAUAAGAAACAGCAUAGUUAAUUCUGUGUUUGUAUUAUAUAAAGUCAUCUUGGUAUAAGCGCAGUAUUAUAAAAAGUACCCAAGUCUA